UCAUAUGCAAAUGUACCAUUACUUGCAAAUACAAAAAUAUGAUAAAUAGUGUUAUAGUUAGUUUGAAAAUAACAGAAAAUAAAAAUGUUUAUUUUUAAUGCGUGGAAAGAGACGAUAGAUAAGGAAGGAGUACAGUACAUCUUGUUAACUUUUUAGAAUUUUGACCUUUUUUAUUACAUAAUUUACUGCAUGCAAUUUCAUAGUCCUAUUUAAACUCGUCGGAGGGUUACUUGUCAGUCCACAAAACUCACAAUUAUGAAAAAAUGCAAAUUUCUUUCGCGUCUAGUUCAAAUGUCUAUUUUU
rnacentral:sRNA from 1 species